rnacentral:rRNA from 1 species
UGGGGAAUUUUGGACAAUGGGGGCAACCCUGAUCCAGCAAUGCCGCGUGUGUGAAGAAGGCCUUCGGGUUGUAAAGCACUUUUGUCCGGAAAGAAAACGCCGUGGUUAAUACCCGUGGCGGAUGACGGUACCGGAAGAAUAAGCACCGGCUAACUACGUGCCAGCAGCCGCGGUAAUACGUAGGGUGCAAGCGUUAAUCGGAAUUACUGGGCGUAAAGCGUGCGCAGGCGGUCCGCUAAGACAGAUGUGAAAUCCCCGGGCUUAACCUGGGAACUGCAUUUGUGACUGGCGGGCUAGAGUAUGGCAGAGGGGGGUAGAAUUCCACGUGUAGCAGUGAAAUGCGUAGAGAUGUGGAGGAAUACCGAUGGCGAAGGCAGCCCCCUGGGCCAAUACUGACGCUCAUGCACGAAAGCGUGGGGGAGCAAACAGGAUUCAGAUACCCUGGUAGUCCACGCCCUAAACGAUGUCAACUAGUUGUCGGUCUUCAUUGACUUGGUAACGUAGCUAACGCGUGAAGUUGACCGCCUGGGGAGUACGGUCGCAAGAUUAAAACU